UUGGAGGGCAAGUCUGGUGCCAGCAGCCGCGGUAAUUCCAGCUCCAAUAGCGUAUAUUAAAGUUGUUGCAGUUAAAAAGCUCGUAGUUGAAUUUCGGGAUCAAGGGAUCGGUCAUGCCUUGGUAUGUACUGGUCUUAUUGGUUCUCACCUUCUAAAGAACCAUGAUGUCAUUCAUUUGAUGUUAUGGGGAAUUGGGACUGUUACCUUGAAAAAAUUAGAGUGUUUAAAGCAAGCUUACGCUUGAAUACAUUAGCAUGGAAUAAUGAAAUAGGACAUCAGAUUCUAUUUUGUUGGUUUCUAGGAUCGAUGUAAUGAUUAAUAGGGAUAGUUGGGGGCAUUAGUAUUCAAUUGUCAGAGGUGAAAUUCUUGGAUUUAUUGAAGACUAACUACUGCGAAAGCAUUUGCCAAGGAUGUUUUCAUUAAUCAAGAACGAAAGUUAGGGGAUCGAAGACGAUCAGAUACCGUCGUAGUCUUAACCAUAAACUAUGCCGACUAGGGAUCGGAUGAUGUUAAUUUUUUAAUGACUCAUUCGGCGCCUUACGGGAAAC
rnacentral:rRNA from 1 species